rnacentral:lncRNA from 1 species
UUUCUCUCUCUUAAUUGUUUCUGUAGCUUCAGCUGAUGUGGCAUGUGUCGUUUUGCUUAGGGAUUUUAUUGCUUUGGCGUCCCGUCAGUUCGCUUCCGAGUCAUCGUCGUGUGCCUGUGUUGCUAGGGCUUGUGUUUGAUUUCAUGCUGGCGCUGUCUCUUUUGUGUUCUUCUGGUCUUUGUUUCAAUGUUCUUGUUGUUGCCCUUAUAUAUGCUUCUUGUUGGAUUUCUACUUACAAAUACACCUAAUUCACAAGUAAAAGCACCUCUCCUUAGAGAACUAAUGUACAUAAUAUGCCACCAAGUCAUAUUUCAAGUUUAGAGACAAGUGUUAUCUCCAGCAGAAAGGCAUGCCAAUAAGGAGCCUCACGGCAGCCCCUUAGCUGAAAUCUUGCUAAGGGAAGCAGAGAAUAAAGUUUUGUAUAAAUUCCAUCAUAGUAUGAGAUUCUAUUUAUGCUAUGUUGAUAACAUCAUAACGGUAUGGGACAAAGGUGGAAAAUCAGAGGCACUAGCAGAACAAUUAAUAAUUAAAUCAUAUGGCCUUGUACUAAAAGAACAAGUAAACCAUUCUUCUGCCCAUUUCUUAAAUAUAAAAUUGGAAUUAAUAGACAAAAAAUUAGAGACAUUGGUCUAUAGAAAAACCUGCAUACAAACCUAUUAUUAUCCCCAAAUGGUCUUCUGACUCGGUAGCAUAUAAAAUAUCAGCUUUUAGUUUUUAUUUUAGAAGGACAAACCUUUAUAUCACAAAUAAUCAUGAAAUGAAGAAAGAACUUGAUUAUAUCUAUGAAAUAGGGCAUCAGCAUAGAUAUAGUAGACACUUUUUAGAAGCCAUCUAU